GUGCUCAUUUUGGCAGCAAAUAUACUAAAAUCAGAACUACACAGAGAAGAUUAGCAUGGCCACUGCUCAGGGGUGACACCCAAAUUCAUGAAGCUUUCCAUAUUUUU
ensembl:snRNA U6 U6 spliceosomal RNA